AUAAACCGAAGCUGUGGAAGAUGCUUUCGCAUCUUGGUAGGAGAGCGUUCUGUAAGCCGAUGAAGGCAGGCUGCAAGGCCUGCUGGAGGUAUCAGAAGUGAGAAUGCAGGAAUGAGUAGCGAGAAGGCGGGUGAGAAUCCCGCCGGCCGGAAGUCCAAGGUUUCCAGGGGAAGGUUUGUCCGCCCUGGGGAAGUCGGGACCUAAGCCGAGGCUAAGUAGCGUAGGCGAAUGGAAAAUAGGUUAAUAUUCCUAUACCACUUAAUUAACGUUUUUACUGAUGGAGUGACGCAGGAAGGUAUGUGAGAAGGCUGACGGUUUAGCCUUUCUAAGGAAAUAGCGUGGGCAUAUAGGCAAAUCCGUAUGCUUAAACGUGAGAACUGAUGGGUAAGCACCUCUUGGUGUAAGUCACAAAUCCUACACUGCCAAGAAAAACUUCUAAGGAGGAAAUUAAGUGCCCGUACUGUAAACCGACACAGGUGGACAGAGUGAGAAACUUAAGGCCGACAGGAUAACUCUAGCUAAGGAACUCUGCAAAAUAGCCCCGUAACUUCGGGAGAAGGGGUGCCUAUAUUACUUGAGAAGAGAAACACUUCAAGGGGAAAUAGGUCGCAGUGAAGAGUCUCAAGCAACUGUUUACCAAAAACACAGGUCUAUGCUAAGCUGAAAGGCGACGUAUAUGGGCUGACACCUGCCCAGUGCCGGAAGGUUAAGAGGAGGAUUGAGAGAUCCGAAUUGAAGCCCCGGUGAACGGCGGCCGUAACUAUAACGGUCCUAAGGUAGCGAAAUUCCUUGUCGGGUAAGUUCCGACCUGCACGAAUGGUGAAAUGAUUUGAGAGCUGUCUUGGCUGGAGGCCUGGUGAAGUUGUAAUGUCGGUGAAGAUACCGACUACCUGCAGUAGGACGGAAAGACCCCGUGGAGCUUUACUGUAGCUUGGCAUUGGGUUCUGGCAAUGUGUGUAUAGGAUAGUUGGGAGACUAUGAUGUAAUGGCGUCAGUCAUUGCUGAGUCGCUGUUGGAAUACCAACCAUAUGUUGUCGGAAUUCUAAUCUGGCAACGGAGACAGUGCUAGGUGGGCAGUUUGACUGGGGCGGUCGCCUCCCAAAGAGUAACGGAGGCGUUCAAAGGUUCCCUCAGGCUGGAUGGAAAUCAGCCUAAGAGUGCAAACGCAUAAGGGAGCUUGACUGCAAGACUGACGGGUCGAGCAGGUACGAAAGUAGGAGUUAGUGAUCCGGCGGUUCCGUAUGGAAGGACCGUCGCUCAACGGAUAAAAGCUACCCCGGGGAUAACAGGCUGAUACUUCCCAAGAGUCCAUAUCGACGGAAGUGUUUGGCACCUCGAUGUCGGCUCGUCUCAUCCUGGGGCUGGAGAAGGUCCCAAGGGUUGGGCUGUUCGCCCAUUAAAGAGGCACGCGAGCUGGGUUCAGAACGUCGUGAGACAGUUCGGUCCCUAUCCACUGCAGGCGCUUGAAUAUUGAAAAGAUCUGACCUUAGUACGAGAGGACCGGGUUGGACAGACCUCUGAUGUAUCAGUUGUCACGCCAGUGGCAUGGCUGAGUAGUCACGUCUGGUACGGAUAACCGCUGAAAGCAUCUAAGCGGGAAGCCGACUUUGAGAUGAAUAUUCGUAGUAUCCAUAGAGAACAUAUGGUUGAUAGGCUAGGGGUGUAAGUGCAGCAAUGCAUUUAGCUGACUAGUACUAAUAUUACGUCUGCUUUUA
rnacentral:rRNA from 1 species